CCAUGGUCCAAUGGCUAACAACCAAGAACUUAGGUACGCUCUGUACUUUAGUCCCUCGUGCAACACCUGAAAUUCCUGGGGCGAAUCAAACAGCAAAUUAAAGCUCAGACAACCUUCACCUGCAAACCAUGCACAGUAUAAGGAACUCAUUUUAAUGUUUUCUGGCUGAAGUCAUAGGGGAUAAGAAAACAAAAGAAUGGCCACGAAGGAAUCCUGGUGGUUUUUAUUUUCUCUCACAAAGGUCCCAAUUUGGGCCCCGAGUCUGCUGGAGAAAAGAGAAAGGCUAAGAAGCAGCCUACCUUACCUGUGGCUCUGGGUCUGAGGAUGGCCAGGAGAACAGAGAGCAAAGCAGAGCCAAUGCAAGACCUCUGGCCCUGGAAGCCGAAGGGUCUCUCACAGGUCAACGCAGGAUCUACUCCAUCAUCAUCUUCACUAGCACACCCAGUUCGAUUGAGGAGCCUUGACGUGGGAUAUUGAUGGGAUAUUGAGAGAAAAGAGAAAUGGUGAAUCAAGCACUAAUCUCAAAGCUUCUGCACAGAACUACUUACAUGUCACUUCCUCCCAUGACUAUUCCUAAAUUCAGCCAAAAGGGGACACAUAAUCUCUUACGGGGGAGGGCACCACGGGGAGAGAAACCCGAAUAUUUGGUGAAUAGUAACACAAUCUACUUUGUUAUAGAAUCUGUCCUCAAUGGUCUUACAGUCUAAGAGCAUUACAUUUAGUUACGGUAGUCUUAAAUAUGAUACUAAAUGAAUUGAAUAGCCAGACAUCUGUGAAAGUAAAACUGUGAUAAUACAAAGUCAGUGUGCUUUUAAGUUUCAAUUGCUUAAAGUUAUUUGGAAGUAAGGAUCACAUGAGUUCAGAGCCCCAGGAUUCAAAAAUAACUCCGGAAUCUUUUAUCACUCCCCAAAGGAAAAGCAAUAAUAAGUAAGUUACCAGACAUUCAUGUAAUCUCUCUGAAACUGUAAGACUAACAAAGGAAAAUUUUCAAAAGGCAGAAAUACUUUAUUAUUUAUUUGCAAUAGAAAUUAUUCAGCCGGGCGCGGUGGCUCAUGCCUGUAAUCCCAGCACUUUGGGAGGCCGAGGCGAGUGGAUCACCUGAGGUCGGGAGUUCGAGACCAGCCUGACCAACAUGGAGAAACCCCGUCUCUACUAAAAAUACACAAUUAGCUGGGCAUGGUGGCACAUGCCUGCAAGCCCAGCUACUCAGGAGGCUAAGGCAGGAGCGACAGAGCGAGACUCCAUCUCAAAAAAAAAAGAAAGAAAGAAAGGAAAAAAAGAAAAGAAAAGAAACAAAGAAAUUUUUCAGUAAAUACAUACAACAGCAUUGAUGGCCUGGAGACAUACCACCUUCAGUUGUGAUCCUGGCAGAUGUGAUAGAUUCUACAAGGUUGGACAGGUUAAAUUCUUGCAAGGAAGUCCUUUCUGGAACACCCAAGAAUUACAGAAAGUUUAGCUAUCUUUCAGAUGAGAUUUCAUUCUCAGUUUUACUUGUUCCAUGACCCUUCCAAACUACACACGGGAUUCUUUUCAUUCAGUUGCCUUGGCCAGCAUUUUAUCACCAAUAGUCCUAUUUUAUGUAACUGAGUUUGCCUUGCCCUUUACUGCAUUUAGGUAAAUGGAAUGGUGUUUUUUAGACUUCCGAAACUAUUUGUAGACCUUUUCCUUCACAAGUUUGAAAUAGAUGUGAGGCAUUCAUUUUACUCAGACAACAUUGAGCCCAAUUCACUUGGGAAAAUGCAUCUUGAUGUGUAAUUCAUCAUCCAGAGCCUGUCCACUAUUCUGUUCCUCCCUGAGAGUAAAUUAGGCACUUUGAAAGGUGCAUUAAACUCUUCCUGGCUACUAGGUACCAUUUAGAACUGUGGGGCAAUAAUUUACUUCAUGGUACCUUGGUGACCUCAAAAAGUUUAUAUUGUUUUGAAAGUUCUUAAUUUUCUCCCACUAAAUAAUUUAUGCAUUCAGAGGUUGGGUGUGCUUAUGUUUCCAGAGAGACAACAGCUAUUGAAUAGCAUAAAUAAGAUAAAAUAGUCAUGCUAGUGUAGAAAUUAAAUGUUCACAAAUGUGUUAUCGAGUCUAUCCAUAGAAUAAAAGUGUAGCUUAUAAAACAAUUAUUGCUUUGGAUUUCAUGUUUUAAAUUUACAAGACUGUGUUACAUUUUGUUGUAAUUAGUAAUGCUUCAUAGCUACAAGGAUUACCAGAUCCAUAUCACUGCAUUUUUCCAUAGCACAAAACACAUUUAUCCAAAGUAAAAAUAGUGUGCUAAACAUACUGAAGUUUCUGACAGACACUUAUAUUUCUCUUCAUUCUUUCAUUCACAGCAGAGUUUCAUCCAUAUUAAAUAAAUUGGUUAAGUUUUGAUACCUCCUACUUUAAUCACUCAUCUUAUGUACUAAAAUGAACCAAAUUAAGUUUGAGCCAACAAAUAAAAGUGAUAUGCUUUGAGUUUUGCUG
rnacentral:lncRNA from 10 species